CGGGACACGUGGUAUCCUGUCUGAAUAUGGGGGGACCAUCCUCCAAGGCUAAAUACUCCUGACUGACCGAUAGUGAACCAGUACCGUGAGGGAAAGGCGAAAAGAACCCCGGCGAGGGGAGUGAAAAAGAACCUGAAACCGUGUACGUACAAGCAGUGGGAGCACGCUUAGGCGUGUGACUGCGUACCUUUUGUAUAAUGGGUCAGCGACUUAUAUUCUGUAGCAAGGUUAACCGAAUAGGGGAGCCGAAGGGAAACCGAGUCUUAACUGGGCGUUAAGUUGCAGGGUAUAGACCCGAAACCCGGUGAUCUAGCCAUGGGCAGGUUGAAGGUUGGGUAACACUAACUGGAGGACCGAACCGACUAAUGUUGAAAAAUUAGCGGAUGACUUGUGGCUGGGGGUGAAAGGCCAAUCAAACCGGGAGAUAGCUGGUUCUCCCCGAAAGCUAUUUAGGUAGCGCCUCGUGAAUUCAUCUCCGGGGGUAGAGCACUGUUUCGGCAAGGGGGUCAUCCCGACUUACCAACCCGAUGCAAACUGCGAAUACCGGAGAAUGUUAUCACGGGAGACACACGGCGGGUGCUAACGUCCGUCGUGAAGAGGGAAACAACCCAGACCGCCAGCUAAGGUCCCAAAGUCAUGGUUAAGUGGGAAACGAUGUGGGAAGGCCCAGACAGCCAGGAUGUUGGCUUAGAAGCAGCCAUCAUUUAAAGAAAGCGUAAUAGCUCACUGGUCGAGUCGGCCUGCGCGGAAGAUGUAACGGGGCUAAACCAUGCACCGAAGCUGCGGCAGCGACGCUGAUGCGUUGUUGGGUAGGGGAGCGUUCUGUAAGCCUGUGAAGGUGUGCUGUGAGGCAUGCUGGAGGUAUCAGAAGUGCGAAUGCUGACAUAAGUAACGAUAAAGCGGGUGAAAAGCCCGCUCGCCGGAAGACCAAGGGUUCCUGUCCAACGUUAAUCGGGGCAGGGUGAGUCGACCCCUAAGGCGAGGCCGAAAGGCGUAGUCGAUGGGAAACAGGUUAAUAUUCCUGUACUUGGUGUUACUGCGAAGGGGGGACGGAGAAGGCUAUGUUGGCCGGGCGACGGUUGUCCCGGUUUAAGCGUGUAGGCUGGUUUUCCAGGCAAAUCCGGAAAAUCAAGGCUGAGGCGUGAUGACGAGGCACUACGGUGCUGAAGCAACAAAUGCCCUGCUUCCAGGAAAAGCCUCUAAGCAUCAGGUAACAUCAAAUCGUACCCCAAACCGACACAGGUGGUCAGGUAGAGAAUACCAAGGCGCUUGAGAGAACUCGGGUGAAGGAACUAGGCAAAAUGGUGCCGUAACUUCGGGAGAAGGCACGCUGAUAUGUAGGUGAAGCGACUUGCUCGUGGAGCUGAAAUCAGUCGAAGAUACCAGCUGGCUGCAACUGUUUAUUAAAAACACAGCACUGUGCAAACACGAAAGUGGACGUAUACGGUGUGACGCCUGCCCGGUGCCGGAAGGUUAAUUGAUGGGGUCAGCGCAAGCGAAGCUCUUGAUCGAAGCCCCGGUAAACGGCGGCCGUAACUAUAACGGUCCUAAGGUAGCGAAAUUCCUUGUCGGGUAAGUUCCGACCUGCACGAAUGGCGUAAUGAUGGCCAGGCUGUCUCCACCCGAGACUCAGUGAAAUUGAACUCGCUGUGAAGAUGCAGUGUACCCGCGGCAAGACGGAAAGACCCCGUGAACCUUUACUAUAGCUUGACACUGAACAUUGAGCCUUGAUGUGUAGGAUAGGUGGGAGGCUUUGAAGUGUGGACGCCAGUCUGCAUGGAGCCGACCUUGAAAUACCACCCUUUAAUGUUUGAUGUUCUAACGUUGACCCGUAAUCCGGGUUGCGGACAGUGUCUGGUGGGUAGUUUGACUGGGGCGGUCUCCUCCUAAAGAGUAACGGAGGAGCACGAAGGUUGGCUAAUCCUGGUCGGACAUCAGGAGGUUAGUGCAAUGGCAUAAGCCAGCUUGACUGCGAGCGUGACGGCGCGAGCAGGUGCGAAAGCAGGUCAUAGUGAUCCGGUGGUUCUG
rnacentral:rRNA from 1 species